rnacentral:lncRNA from 1 species
UCAACUUGACUUACUUGCUGCCAUACUCUUUGAUUUAGAUGUCCUGACAACACUUUUUUGAUUUUCCUAAAAUGUGUAAGUCACAUGAAACUGAUCUGGACUAUAGGAUGGUAGGAUUAAUGCCUUAUUUCUUAAUCUGGUGUUAAUUUGUAAUGUACUCUUUUAAAGUGACCUGUACUCAGUGAUUACACCAAUAGUAUCUAGACACUAGGAAAGUUCUCUUUUUGUUAUGAAACUAUUUUUUUUAUGGGUUUCCCCACCUUGGUAAAUUGUUGGUCUUACUACACUUCAAGUAUCAUUCAUUAGUAGCCUUCUUGAAAGCCUUUGCUUCACUCCUUUUCCCCUAUACUGCCCUCUCCUCCACAGCAUAUUUUCCAUUAGCCGAUGAAUUUCAGUAUAUCUUACAACCUUCAUGUUUAAAAAGGGCUCAGCACAUUAUCCCUGCUUUCAGAAACAUUGCAUUUGUAAAAACUUUCAAUAUCUUCACUGCUUAUAUAUUAUCAUAUUGUUUGAAACCUUUUUCUGCGUAUCAUGUUUAUUAUCGCAGAGUCUGAUAACUUUUUUUUCUGAUUUUACAGACUCUUUUCUACUGUCAAGAGACUCUUUUGAUCAUGAAGCUACAGCUCUGAUGAAGGCACAGUUCAUGAGUUUGUGGAAUGGUCUUAUUAUUGAUCCAGACUGUCAAGUUGUAGUAAUGGGGGCAACUAAUAGCCCACAAGAUGUAGACAAGGCAAUUCUGCAGAGAAUGCCUGCUAUGUUUCACAUUGGAUUCCCAUAUUCAGAAGAUGUUGAUAUAAAAGAGAUUGGAAAAAUCACUGAGGGAUUUUCUGGAAGUGAUCUGAAAAAACUGCCGAAAUGCUGCUUUGUACAGAGUACAUGACUACUGCAAUGAAGAAACAAGAGUCUUAUGGACAGAAAAUCAACAGUCAGAAAGUCCAAAUAAGUCUCAAAUGCCGAUUAAGAAGGAGAUAUCUGAAUCUUCAUUUCCAAUACAAUAUGAUGAAGAUAAGAAAGAACUGGACAGAAAAGCUCCUGUCAAACGAGAAAUUUCUGAUUCGGGAUCUGAAGGUCCAAAGGAAGAAAAUAUUGCACAGGUCAUGAAAAUUUGAGGAAGUUUCUAAUAAAUAAAAUAGUAUAAAUAGAAUUCAACAACAGAUUCUCAACAUAAACUGGAACCAUGGUGGAAUCCAUGCUGACUAUGAAAAAAUUGAAACUUCUCAACGAAGAAGAGGAAGAAAGUGAACGUAGCAGUGAUGACAUCGAAACAAGAAAUAUGAUACAAGAACUGCGGGAAAAA